GUUUUACUGCUCGAACAAACGACCGUAUGUAUGUGAAUCAUAUGUGAUAGUAAUACGGUUACUAAAGAAAAACACGUAUUAGAUAUGUUGGUCCAAGACCCAUCCAACAGAAAUGAACCACCACCCAUUCAGUUUUCCCCAUUUUUCGGAUCUGGAGAGAGGUGAUGGGCUGAUGGCUGCGGCGCUCAGGGGAGCAGCUGAUUGGCCACGAUGGCGGCUUGGUGGAGCCGCUCAGCGACGGUAGCAGCGGCAGCCCCGGCUAAGAGCGGUGGCGGCCCUGGCUAGAAACGUCAAGGCGGUGGCCCUGGUUCGAAGGAGCAGCUCAGCGGCGGAGGCGGCCGCCAACUUAGUGGCUCGAGCCGGAGGCGAGGUUCCGCGCGAUUCGAUUCGAUUUGAUUUUCUUUUGUGUGUGUUCAUUGACGGUAACAACGACGAUAGCGUUUUCUUGCAGUGGCGUCGAUGAAAGCCGGCUCCACGAUGACGGGUGACCGCUGUUCUCCGCCCACGGUCUCCACCGGCAUCCCUUCAGACGCCACCACCCUCCCCCCCCC
rnacentral:lncRNA from 1 species